GUGCUUGCUUUGGCAGCACAUAUACUAAAAUUGUAACAAUCAAAAGAUUAACAUGGCCCCUGCACAAGGAUGCCUCAAAUUUGUGAAAUUUUAAUUAAAAAA